UUUUUUUUUUUUUUUUUUUUUUUUUUAGUUUCAAUGAGCUUAUGAUUCAUGUCCUCUUUGGGAAUUGUUAAUUUCAUCAAUAAGAAAUUAUUUUUGUUACCUUUUGCCAUUUCCAAAUUGUUUUGUCUAAUUUUUAAUUUUUCCUUCUUUCUGUUUAUGUUUCUCUGACUUACACUGUUGCAUACUUAGUAUGUUAAACUUUCUAUGACAUUCAUGUGCCAGUCUUUUAUGUUAAAAAAAAAAGUCACUAGUUUUUGUUUUAAAAUCUAACCCAAGAAUUUUUAUCUUUACAAGCUUAUUUCUAAUUUUUCAUGUAUGUUUUACACAUCCUUCACAAUACUGGUUAAUAGUGGAUUUAUAAGAGCUUCACGCCUUUUUAAAUGUCAACUUUUGUGUCAUUUCAUUUUAUUAUCUCCACCCUCCCCUCCCCCCUGCCUCCAUCCACUCUUCCCUUUGUCUCCAAAUCUCUGCUUAUUUCCCCAAGGAAACCAGCAAAUUGGAGCAGGAACAAUUUAAUGUUGUGCUUAUGUAAGAGUAGUACUUCUCAGGCUUAGGUAUCUGAGAAACUUAGAUAGAUAGAUAGAUAGAUAGAUAGAUACCAAAGACCUUACAAAUGUCAUGUGCAUUUGGAUGAAAACAGACAGGAAUAAAAAGUUUUCUGUGUGAUUUAUUCGUUAUAAGAAAUGAUCACAUUUUGAUCCAUAUGUUUCAUGCACAACAAACAUUGAAUAUUAUCAGAAUAUAUGGUGCCUUUAUGAAAAAUAUGUGUAACGGAGAACAACCGUCAUCCAACAGGAAAUACACACGAGUGGGUUCGAGCGGCCUACGCAUCAUGCUGCUGUGGCUUGUUCCAGAUUUGUGAAUCAGGAAUUUCUCAUGAGACCACCAGGUAUUCUAGCACAGGGUGUGCAUUUUUCCAUUUCUUCUGACCAGAGUAUCAUGCAUCAUACUCUGUAUGAAAACACACACACACAUACACACGUUCCUUAGAUAUAUGUGUUAAAUUACAUUUUAGGGAAACAAAUCCCAAGAAUAUUGUUUUACUUUUUAUUUAUUAAUUUUGGAGGACAAUGAUUAUCUUAUGAAUUAUAAGAUUUCACAAAAUUUAAUUUGGGAAAAUCCACCUUAGGGACCACCGGCUUAUAAUCGUCCUUGGAAAAAUAAAACCACCCUGUGCUGAUGAACUUGAAGAAGACAUUAUUCACCCAUCUAGUCAUUCAUUCUUACAAUGGUUACUUAUGAAGCGCUUCCUCCGAGUUAGACAUUGUGCUUACCUAGCAGAGAUUUGAAGAUGAAUAAGGCGUACUUCUGGCCUUCUGAACACGCCUCUGUCUCCAGUGCAUGGUCAGAAGAAGGUGGGAUGGAUGCCAUAAUAGAGGGACUCACAGGGGAUGAAGGAAGCAUGGAGAAGCACCCUCACCUAACAAGGGCAUGAGAGAGCAGGCCGAUAGAAAGCCGGAAUGAUUAAGAGAGUGUUUUAUAGAAAAGGAACUAGAGCCACCCCUCAAGCACAGAGAGGGAGGUUCUCCAGCUGUGCAUGGUCUGUGAGGAUGCUCCUGGCUGUACAUGGACCAAAGGGCCCAUGCGCUCAGUGUGAGAGCAAGUGUCACCCCCUCUCUGUGUCCCAGACUGAUACUCAUGGAGGCGUUUCAAGAAUUUUGGCUGUGGUGUGUACCAAGGGCCUCAGGUAGAGAAUGAUGGGUGAUAUUGGUGAUUUCUUCAUUAAACUUCAAAUACAGCUGAAAAGGGCUGGCCAGUGGGUGGUAUGUUGCUAGUCAGUGGGGGUAUAUUUUCUCAGAUGCUGGAUGGGGCUUAGCUCAAGUGAGGUGUGAAAUCCCAGUUGCCUUGAGAUCCUUCAUACCAAGGCCAGAUGACUUUCAUAAGCCCUACAGAUUGAAUACAAGUGGUUCUUCUGCUUAUAAAAAUGGCCCCAUUCCAAGCCCUUUUAAAAGAAAUUCACUGUGUGACCUUCUAGACAAGUCAUCUUUCUGAGCUUCAGUUUCAUCAUCUAUAAUUUGGAAUUUACAAAGGGGAUCAGAGAUGACAUAUAUGCCUGAUGUGUUAUUAUUCUCCAUCCAUACAUCUAGGACAGACAUUCUCAAUCAAUUGCUGCACGCUCUCCUGCUGAAUCCAAACAGGGCCUCAGAAUCCUUUCUCCACACUGCUCCAUGUAGUUGCUGCCAGAUAAAGCCCUCAUGUUUUCCCUGAUUUCUGAUGUUACUUUUGGUUCUAACAUUUUGUUUUUAAGAAAGGUAGAAAAAUACUCAGUGCAUAUAGUUUAUAUGUGAACAAAGAUAAGUCAAACUAUCUUUGACAUGUUGCAGUCUUGAAAGUAAGAAUGAUUUAAGUUUAUGUACUCAAUAGGAAUAAGGAACAGUAGAUAUUUUUCUGUUUGUUUGCUUGACAUUGUAUAACUUUGGGGCAUUUUAUUUUAAUCUAUUUUUAAAUAUUUUUUAUUUUUCCAUUAUAAUUGAUUUACAUUGUUCUGUCAAUUUCUACUGUAUAGCAAAGUGACCCAGUCAUACAUAAAUACAUAUGCUUUUUCUCACAUUAUCUUCCAUCAUGUUUCAUCACAAGUGACUGGAUAUAGUUCCCUGUGCUAUACUGCAGGAUCUCAUUGCUUUUCCACUCCAAAUACAAUAGUUUGCAUCUAGACACUCCUGGCCCCCAGUGCGUCCCUGGUGUUUCUUGAGACUCUCACAUUUUUGAAAUCUAAAUAUUUCAAAGUUGUAGGGUUGCUUGCCAUUUAAAGGAAGGUUGCGGUGAUUCUAUUUGCAGAUAGACAGCUCUUCUGUAUUUCAGGUAAGCACCCUGUGAUUUUUUUUUCUGUGGUGUUUUUGAGGUCUAUUUUUUCUUAAAUGGAUCAUACUGAGUAUUAGCUCAAUUAAGUGAGUUCCCCACAGUGAACAGGAAAUCUUUGGGUUUUCACCUUUUGGUUUUAUAAAACAACCUAAAAAAUUCUAAAAUCCAGAAAUGUCAACCUUUGGUAAUGGUGUUGGAGGCAUGGCAAAAAAGCAUUUGUUUCUGAGGGUUCAAAACCUCCCUUCUCCAUAGAGAUUGAGUCACUCCAAAUCCUGUGCAGUAAUCCAAGCCCAGAACAUUCUCCCAGCCAUAGCAACUAAGCUGAGCUGAUUGGACCAGCACUAUUGCAGGAAACACCUGGCCUAUCUUUUGAAAUCACAUACCAAGUUCUCCUUGAAGACCUAUUCCCAGGUUUCAGGAAGAAUCCCAAAGGUGAAUAAAAUCUGGGAAAAAAAAAAAGGAGUCCUUUCCCUCUACCCUUUGGCCCCAUCCUGCUCUUCUGAUAUCAAAAUUCUUCCCCCAGAGCCUGGGCUUACUCCAACUCUCAAUGGGCAGCAUCACCCUGUCCAUGGGGAACUCAAAAUCCAUUCAGUGAAAUUCAACCCUAUUAGAGGAAUCUGUAUCUUUAUUUUUUCAUUCACGCAAUAUGUGUCUACUGAAAACUAGCCCCAGGAUCAGGCAAGACUCCUGGGGAGAAGCUGACCAUCUGAGUUUGAUGGACUAUCAGGACCCAGCUGCUGGGGGACAGAGAAAUCACAUUGCAGAAAUAGAGAUUACAAGUAUUAAGGCUUGCCUGUACUCUUAAGAAGCUUGCUUUCUUCUAGUAGUGGGCCUGGACUUUGAAAUUCAGUUCAGAUGGGUCAACAGAGUUUUAUGGAGCUCUCGUUAUGCACAGUCUUCAUGUGAAAAACUGGUAAAUGAUAACACUGAAUAGCAUCCAAUUAGGUGCCCAUUCUAGGUGUAACAUUACAUACUAAAUGGAGGGAAACAGACCAUGUAUAGUUGGAUAUUUUUCACCAUAAGGAUUCAGGUCAUUUGCUCAGAAAAUCUAGCCAACGCUAUAUGGUCUAUUGAGGGACCAUCCCAGAAUGGAAUUUGAACCCAGCUCAAAUGACCACUUUUGGGACAGCACUCCUGAACUGAGUUCAUCUCUCCCACCUAUAUAUGUUUCUAUGGUUCCAGGAGUCACACUGUAUGAAAGGUGUUUAUUCCAGUGUCUGCCUCUCCAGCAGUGAGUUCAUUGAUCUGCUAGGCACCUAGUGAGAGACCAGAGCAAGUGUACUGAACAGGGAAAAGGCAGUAAGUGCAAAGGGUUUUACGAGCACAUGCCAACCCUGACUUUUAUAUAUCGCAAAGUUGAGGCUUCCUCCUUGAUGCAAACAACAUCAUCAGAAAAGCCAAUGACAACAGCAAAAGCAUUGACAACCACAAACAAAAACAAAAAGCAGUUCAUUCCUGAUAUCGAAUUAGCUGAGUAUUUUGAAGCACCUUCUUGGAGAACUGCAUCAAAUUGGCCCCCAGAUUCCUUCAUCAAGCACCUGGAAAGGACCCAAUUGUAUUGGUCCAAUAGAUGUGGACCAAACCAUGAGUGUGGGUACCAAGGGCACAAUAAUGCAAGCUCUGGAAGUGCCUGACAGAUUUGAUAGACAUUUAUUAAGUUAAGAACUACACAAUGCUACAUAUUAGAAGGUUAAAAGCAGCAUAUAUUUUGGUCUGCAAAGAACUCCUAAGUUUUCCAAGGGAGGUAGCAUGUAUUGGAGGUUUAUUCUACGUGGAUGAACUUCUAUAUCAGUUUGGUCUUCUAAGGGUCCUAACAACUUAUGUAAGAGAUGGUGCUGAAAGGUGAACUCCCAGGGUAUAUGUAGGGACAAAGACCUUUACUCUCACCUUGACUUUUUUCCCCCAUGGUGCCAAGGAAGCUUCUGGUUCCAUCAACAGUAGGAGUUGGGAAUGACUGCAGAUCAAGCCUGAGAGGGGUGAAGUGCAACAGAGCUUUGAACUUUCAGAAAGGCCAUCUCACUUCAUGCUCACAGAAUUCCCAUUUCAGACAUGAGGAACCCCGAAACUCCCCAAGACUGGGAGACUCCUCCAGAGUCACUUUGCUUCAAAAAUGAUAUAGCACUGACCAAAGGCUGGUCUUCAUUUAGUCCUCUGUCUUCCCCUCCUGAUAGAAAGCCAGGCCCUUUGUCUUCACUGCCCCACUUGUUCAGGGCUCAAUGGUGGCUACCAUGCUGGAAGCAGAGCACCUCUGGAUUUCUAUUCAACAGCUGUAUGGCUUUGAGAAAGUCAGUCAACAUUCUGGCUUGGAGUGGCUUCGUUAUAAAAUAGGAGUGGUAAUACCUGGACUCAAACUUUGAUUCUGUCACAUUCCAGCUUUGUUUCCUUGGAUCUCUGUCUCCUUGUCUAUGAAAUAGGUUGAAAUCAUAUUGGGUGAAUGACAUGGGCAAAGGUGUGUGAAAAUUUCCUGCCAAAAUCCUGCCCAACACCUAGUUGACAUUCAUUGACUGUGCAUUUCUCCCCUGUUUUGGGCAACUUGGCUUUCAGAGAACACACCAGAACUUACAGGAAACCCUUGGGCUAAGGGUGUCUCUCUCAUUCUGUCCCUCCCCUAACCUCUCCACUCUGAAUGCCUUUGUUUCUUAUCUCCAUUGUAGGCCUAAGCUUGAUGGAGCAGGGGAGAGAGCAAAGGCAUAAAGAGAAGUCUUGAGGCAGUUGGGCCCCUGAGAGGGACGAGGGGGCAGGUCUCAUUCUAUUUGUACAGGUGCAUUGUAACGCUGCCUGUGGUGUGAACAUUUUCCACUUCAUUACUCCUGGCCCAGGCCCAGGCCCCGUCUGCUCCCCUGGCCCCUGCCUUGGUUUAAUUUCAGCAGUUCUUGGCCUUCGGAAGGCAGCAGUAACAGAAAAGAAAACAAAUGAGGUCGCCAUAAACAUUUCUGCAUGUUGCCCGGUUGCCCAUCCAGGGCAGAUGGGUGCAUUCAUGGAGCGGUUGGUGGGGGUGUGGCUGGCUUGGCUAGGGCCGCAGGUACCCCUAUCAAAGCACCCUAAUCCCCAAGAGCUUCUGGCUGCUGGGCCCCCUGUUUCUAACUGGAAUUAAUUUAGGUUUAAUGUAUAAACAUGGGUCAUAACAGAUGGCCCAAGACACCGUCGGUGCAGUCUGUAAGAGAUGGUUGAACUGAAUAAAUAAUAGCUAACAUUUAUGGAGCACUUACUAUGUGCUAGACGCAGUUCUAAACAUUUAGAAGAAUUUUAGAGUGAGUGUAUCCUGUUAUUAUUCUAAUUUUGCAGAUGAGGAAACUGAAGCAGGUAGCAUGAUGCAUAAAUAGCAGAGCUGGAUUUUGUCCCUGGCAGUCUGACUUCAGAAUCUGCAUGUUUCAAUACUGUGCUGUGGUGCCUCCUGAUACAAUAGGUUUUAUGUGCUUGUAUUUUGACAAUGAGAAACCUGGAGGUAUCUCAUCAAGUGUGCAGUUAUAGAGUGAAUGAACUUGGACCAGUUGACUCCCAGGAUUGGGUUGGUCCAAAAACUGAUGGUGCUGGGAUUCUCUGCUGACAUUAUCCACACUCUGCUUGCAUAUAUCCACUGAUGGGAAGCUCACUACUGUCUGAGGCAUCCCAUUCCAUUAAGUGACUAUUUAACUCAAUAGUAGUGCUAAUGACUCUGUGUUGCAAAACACAGCCUUUUUCUAAUUAUUAUCUAUGAAAGAGCUAGUUCAUGUGACUGUGCCUAGCAGAGUGCCUAGAACACUUCGGGCACUCGAGGUAUCUUCAUUCCCUUCCUCCUUUCUCCUGUGUCUUUCACAAAUUAAAAAGAAAAGAUAAAAGUUGUUUGCUCACCAUACAGUCAGGAAGGUGUAUGUAUAAAAUCUUACCAAGCUUAUGCCUCAUGUGAAAGGUGAGAGGUUUAGUAGGCAGGAAGGUCCAAAUUCUCACCUUUUAAAAAAAAGUAAUAAUUAUUUUUCUCCUUCCUUUCCCAAGGGAUUGUGAAUACAUAUGUACCAGUCAUUUGCUAGUCAUGAGACUGUGGAAAGGCCUAGAACACAGUCCCUGUCUUUGGGGAGUUCCAUCUGCCUUGGGAACUGGUUACAUCAAUAACCUGUGGUUACAAACAGAUACAGAUGCUCUGGAAAGCCAGCAGUCGGAGGAGUGGCUGACUCACUGUGUUCACCAAGACAGGGUCUCCAAGACCCAUUGGGCAGUAUUUUUUUUCACCUCUUGGUAAACUCUGUGUAAUUGAAAGAAAUGUUUGCAUUUGAAAGCUGUUUAAAAUGAUUCCCCAAUGUGUAAUUGUAUUCAUUGGAGGCCAUGUCCUUAGAGUAGAAGAUGUCAAGGAAGAGAAGCAAUCCCAGUUCCCUUAUCUACUGGGAGGCACUGUUCCUUGAAUAGAGCCCACUGCGUCUCAAGCCUCAUGCAUCUGUCCCUCUCCAGCAGGCCACACCCAUCAGCACCCUAACAAGCGAGGACACAGCCUUCUUUAAAAAAUAUCCUCAUUGACCCGCCUUCUCCCUCUCAUUUCGCUGUUCCCCUUUCCAGACAAACUCUCCGAAGAGGUGAAUCUACUCGCCAUCUCCACUUCCCUAUAUUCUCUCUCUCUUUCUAUUUUUCUUUUUUUGGCCGCUCCCCAAAAAAGAGUUCCCCCACCAAGGAUGAGAUCCAAGCCGUAGUUAGGGCGUAAGCCACGGCUCCGGCCUCGCGUGGGACCCUUUAGCCCCUGUGUUCUCUCUUGAACCCACUCAGUCUUUUGCCCUCACCGCUUAACUGACACAGAUAUUAUCAGUGUCCAGAGAGGGGGAGCUGUGGCAAAUGUGAAGGUCAAUUCAAUUCUCCGUCCUCAUCCUAACUGAUCACCCACUGAUUUGACCUUAUGGGUCACUCUUUCCUUGAAAGGCUUCCUUCGUUCGGCUGCUAGGACUGGAGUCUUUGGGUUUUCCUUUUUAAGGGGCCUCUCCUGCACAAAGUCCUGAUAAAGAAACUUAGGGGACAUUGGGAGAUAACCCUAAGUUAAUAAAUUGCUCAAGAAAACCAUUAGCACAAGGUGGGCUUGCUUCAUUUAGUGGAGCCUUGAGAAUGGCCUCAGGUCACUGGGUGGGGACUGGGAUGAGGCCUGCAUUCAUAUUCAGACCAAGGGCAAGAGUUUGAGGACCACCCUUCUGCUGAUUUGAAUACACACCUUACCGGAUAUUAAGGAGGAGCUACUACUCCCAGAAAGGAAGAGGUGGGCUUUUCCAUCCCCCUUGGAUGACAAAACUGUAGCCCAGUGGAUCCUUGGAUCCUUGGGGCAGAGCUUCCGUGCCUGCCUGCUUGCAUCCCUCACAAGUGUCUUAUCUUAAUAAAUCUAUUUCUUGCCAGAGUUCCCAUCAUGGCUCAGUGGUUAACGAAUCUGACUAGGAACCAUGAGGUUGCGGGUUUGAUCCCUGGCCUUGCUCAGUGCGUUAAGGAUCCAGUGUUGCCGUGAGCUGUGGUGUAGGUUGCAGACGUGGCUUGGAUCCCACGUUGCUGUGGCUCUGGCGUAGGCUGGCAGCUACAGCUCGGAUUAGACCCCCUAGCCUGGGAACCUCCAUAUGCCACAGGAGUGGCCCCAGAAAAGGC
rnacentral:lncRNA from 1 species